ensembl:lncRNA
CGCGUAGCUCCGACCUGGAAGCUUGCGAACGUGCCCUGCAGCCGGAUGGGCGCCGAUGGGAGGGGCCCCUGCGGGAGCGACUGGGCGGGCACUUGGAGAGGACUAGGACCAGCCAGACCACGGGAUGCCCAAGGCACCCUUUCCCUUCCUGGAAUAGCGCUCCUCUCCCACGGCCAAAGCAGAGGCAAAGCCAGCCUUUCCCCAAUUCUCUGAAAGAUGAGGAAACUGGGAAGUGAAGAACUUGCAGACACAGACAACUGGCAGACCAGUCUCUGCUGCUCUCUGUUGUCCUUGCAGCUCCAGCGAACGAGAGCACUGGACCUGGGGUGGGGACUUCUGGCUUUGCGUCCCACUCUCCCACUUAGGACUGUGUGCCCCAGCCGCCAGGAUGGGUGUCACGCUGCAUCACGCCAGCUUCCGAACCAACCGGGGUAAUCUAUGAGAAUGACCUUUUUGCCAUUCAAAUCCCUCUUGACUUUUCUGCUCUGACCGACCUGAGCUGGCCGCUGCUGACUACCGUGACCACUGCUCAGCUGGGAAAGGGUGGAGCAGCAGCUGCCCGGACGCCCCGACGCCCAGAGCUUCCCCCAGCUCGGCAAGAAUAAAUCUCCGGAGAAAUAGAUUUUGAAGAGGAAUUUGGUACAUAGAUCUUCUGUCAGCAGAGCAGACUCUGGCUCAGCCGUUUUUCAGGCUCGCUGCUUAUCCAGAAAUACAUCUAUUUCUAUGUGGAUCUCUAGCGAGAUUUCCUCUUCCCUCCUGGGGUGGGAGGGGGCGCAGGCAACCCAACAGGUCUGGGCGUGUGGGGGCGGGGCCUGCGGUGGCCUCAGGGGGCUGGCCAGGCCCAUGAUCUGUCUGGGGAACACUGGGGCUCGGGCGGAGGGAAGCAGUGCUGAACCCUGGGCCUCCAGGCCUUCCUCCAGCCAUCCGCAGGCAUCCUGCCCCAGCCCGUCUUGGAACGUGAGCCGGCCUCCCAAAGCCUCCACCACUGAACCAGCCCCUCUGCACCGCCUAUGCCCACCUCCCUGACCCCUGAUCCUGAAGUCCACUGAGACCUGAGCUAUGGACACCUCCCAGGCCCACAGGUCCGCGCAGACUCGCAAGGACAUGCACACAUCGAGGGCCCGCAGCCGGCGCCUGCAAAGACUGCACCCGUCCUUUGCUGCUGGUUUAUUCCGGGCCUGCCUGUUGGCAUCCGGCCACCGCAAACAGUGGGAGCCGGCUCUGAGCAGCCCCGCGGACCAGCGGGUGACAUGGCUGGCGGGGGCUCUGAGCGGUGUGCUGUGGCAGGCAAUUAGGCCUCAAACAAUGGCUCUGGAAAUGUCAGAAGUAGCGGGGAGGCUGGGAUUCACAUGGGCGUUUGGCACAUGGAGGGCCCCAGGGGCUGACACUGCACUGACGGAGCUAAGAGGAAGGGGGCUGACAAGGGUGCUCUCCAUCUCCCAGAGGACCCUUUGGCUGGGGAGACACCCUUGUGCCUCCUUUCCCCAGACCCCUGGAAUCAGAUAACUCCUUUCACUCCAGGAGCUUUUGUGCUGUGGAGAACCAACCCCUCACACACACCAGAUACUCGGGAGGGAAGAUGGUUCCAAAAUAAGAAGGACCCCAGGUCCCCCCCCCCCUACUUGGCCUGUCCUCUGUCCCCAAAUUCUGUUCUAAGAAGCCCACAGCCCGUGCCCAGCCAGGCCCACCCAAGGCCCCGGCUCUGGACUCCAGCCCCUGCCACUUUGGGGACCUUGUUCCGGAAUCAUGCCCCUCCCUCUCCUCCAGCAGUGCCAGUUACUUCCUCUGCUGUUUUCCUGGCCUUGCCCCCUCCCUCCAUGCUGACAUACAGUGCCUGUGGGCCCCACUGAGCCUGGUGGGUGUCCCCACUCUCUCCCUCCACACCACCAAGUCUCUCCUCCCGGUCUCACUGAGAAAUACCUGUUCCCCAUAGAGAACAGACUUUGGUUGGAAAACGGGAGAGGAGGCAGGGAAGGGAAUGGAUUGGGAGUCUGGAAUUAGCAGAUGCAGACUGUUAUACAUAGGAUGGAUAAACAAGGUUCUCCUGUACAGCACAGGGAACUAUAUUC